CCUACGGGAGGCAGCAGUAGGGAAUCUUCCGCAAUGGACGAAAGUCUGACGGAGCAACGCCGCGUGAGUGAUGAAGGCCUUCGGGUCGUAAAACUCUGUUGUUAGGGAAGAACAAGUAUCGGAGUAACUGCCGGUACCUUGACGGUACCUAACCAGAAAGCCACGGCUAACUACGUGCCAGCAGCCGCGGUAAUACGUAGGUGGCAAGCGUUGUCCGGAUUUAUUGGGCGUAAAGCGCGCGCAGGCGGUCCUUUAAGUCUGAUGUGAAAUCUCGCGGCUCAACCGCGAGCGGUCAUUGGAAACUGGGGGACUUGAGUGCAGAAGAGAAGAGCGGAAUUCCACGUGUAGCGGUGAAAUGCGUAGAUAUGUGGAGGAACACCAGUGGCGAAGGCGGCUCUUUGGUCUGUAACUGACGCUGAGGCGCGAAAGCGUGGGGAGCGAACAGGAUUAGAUACCCUGGUAGUCCACGCCGUAAACGAUGAGUGCUAAGUGUUAGAGGGUUUCCGCCCUUUAGUGCUGCAGCAAACGCAUUAAGCACUCCGCCUGGGGAGUACGGCCGCAAGGCUGAAACUCAAAGGAAUUGACGG
rnacentral:rRNA from 1 species